rnacentral:lncRNA from 1 species
UAUAACAUCUGAAUUUUGUAUCUGUUUGUAUUUGUCAUUGGUGCUGAAUGCAACUUUGAUGUUAUUUUUGUUUUAGCUCAUUUCUAUCAAUCAUGAUAUGUAAUUCUUAAAUUAUAAUAUUCAGAGCACCUCGCUUCUUUUGGGCGCCUUUUGACUACGCUGGUGGGCACCGAGGAAAUUUUUCUCUGGAGGAGCAGGAAAAGACAGGCGAGCUUCCUCAGAUUCCCUCCCACUUAAACCACGAGAUGGAUAAUCUUCUCCCAGCCACGACGUGAUUCCGGAUUGAAGUAAUCUUGUAACACAGAUGGCCAUGUUCCUCCUAUCACUGAGACAAAAGUUUUCAGCAAAUCCAUCAUUCACUCUAAAGACCUGUGGCUUCUGGGCGGUGGGAGCAUUUCAAUCCUUGGAAAGAUCUCGCUGCGCAAGUUCACCGGCCUCAG